GCAGCUCAGUUGAUAGAGCAUGAGACUCUUAAUCUCAGGGUUGGGGUUUCGAGACCCACAUUGGGCA